rfam:Oesophagostomum dentatum strain OD-Hann O_dentatum-1.0_Cont729170.1, whole genome shotgun sequence.
GCGUCUGCCUACGGAGCAGAAGAUUGCAGGUUCGAAUCCUGCCGUGGUCG